CGAAGAUGGCGGCGGGCGACGCGCCGCGACCCGCCGGCCGAGGACGUCGUCUCCGAAAAGCAGCCACCCUGGGUGCUUCCAAGCUGAUUCAGGUCAGCUAACGUGACACCCUGGGUUAGAGGCAGCUCACGUCAUCAGAACUCAAUGCACGGCCACAGAGCCGGCAGCGCCGCACAGUGGUCGCUUGGCAACGCGGCGGGGCUCAACCAUGGACACAUUGCGCAGGUUACAUCUCGUCUUUGUAUAUUUAUGAAUCCGCUAAUGAAGGAACACCAAUUGAGACACCCCAGCUCGGAGGAAAAGUUCCAUAAACAAACUGCUCUUUUAUGGUGAAGAUGAGCAAACUGUAUAACGUUUCUGUUAUAUCUGAAGAGAGAUUUAUCGAGAGAACACGCAGAAAUAUAGAGAUAAUAUAUUCCAUGGUGAAGUAAGGGCGACUGAACUGUGACUAAUUGAUCGUCCAGAUAUUGUGAUGAAAUGACACAGACUGUUUUCUGAUGCUGUUAAUUAUGGAGAUUGUCUUAAUUGAGUGAUCAAGUGAACAUGAAACAGGUGGCGGAAUAUUCUUGGGAAGAUGCAUGCUGAGUGCAUCAGAGUGAACAGCAGUUAUAGAUACCAUUUCAUAUUGCAACAAUUGUGAGGUUGUUAAAUGACACAAAAUGGGCUGAAAUAUACUGCAGUCAUCACUAUAGUGCAAAAGGUUAUUUGUAAGUAAAUACAAGGAGAAGCAAAGAGAGGAAGAGGCAAUGAAGCAACUUGUCACAUGUUUUGACAAUGAUCAAAAGUAAAUCACUGCUGGUUAAAAGUGCUAAAGAAAUGAAAUUGCCUGGUAAAUUGUUGAAACCCUUGAGGCAGACAAACAGGGCAGCCACCCUAAGCUCACAGUCUCAGAGCGCCUGCAAGCUGGCUGUGCACUGUGCAGCAGGCAGCCAGCAACAGCCGAGUGACUUGGCAGCACUGGAACACACCUCCACACAGCGGAGAAGACCGCAAGGCAGGCAUUGUUGCGGCAGGUCGUGUCUACCGACCAGGUCAAGGAGAGCGAGCGACGAGCGAAAGCGGCCAACGGCGCAACAGCUAUGACGCCGUAGCCUCGCAGCACUGCGGGCUUGCCUGUUCGCACACCCAGCCACUGUUGCCAUUCAUACGAGUGUCAGGCUCGCCUCAGGCGCUGCCAACCAUCGCGAAGCAAAUUAUCUGCUGGCUAGAAGCACACGAGGGGUAUAGCCACUACUCACACGCAAAGAACACUUACACCAGAUGGUUGGCGCAGGGAGCUUCAGUUCAGCAUCGAAACUUAUUUUAACGAUGAAUAUCUCUACUGAAAGAAGACCAGAAGGUGUUUUCUGUCUACAACAAAUGAUUUGAGGUUGCUAAUGUUGCUUCACUGGUGACAUCAGUAGAAAUCAAGGCAAUAAAAAAGUGUUGAAGAACUUUGAAAAAGUAAUUAAACAAGAAAUUAUAGACAGUGUUCUGAACACUAGUUAUUACAUGACAGACUAAUCUCGAAAUCAUUCUGCACAGCCGUGAAGAAAUGGUUAAGUAUGUACUGGAGCUAAAAGACACUGUGUCUCGUACAUAAUUCCCUGCUCAGUUGCGGAAAGAAAUAAACUGUAUCAUUCUGCUUUCUCUCAUCCACAAAAUCACCCUUAAUAGGUUUAUUUUCCAAUCGUUUUGUACACAACACUGAUUAGAGAAAUAUACCUGCGUUGUCACUCAUCCUUCACGAUGGACACACACACAAUUCACUCAAACAGCGCAAGAUACUGCGCACAAAAGAGUCCUUGAACGACUAUCGUCUUGUGAGAGGCGCAGCUAGCCACAAUGAAGUACAGAUUUUUUACUUACUUCUGCGAAACUUUGCAGGAAACAGCCAUCCUUUUCGUGGAACACAGUUACCACAGACGAACACUGAACACACGCACCGCAUCUUUCGAGAAAAAAGCGCUCCACAAGCGCGCCAGAUGUGUUUCCCUUUCACGACAGCCGUACUCUCUCACAACUAGUCUGU